UGAAUAACCACUUUUACCUAGGGGCUGCAACAAAAUGGAAUAUUUCUAUGCAGUUAUUCAGUUGAAGCAAAAAUAAAAGAAAGCAUUAUUCCAGAGAAUAACAAAAAUCUCCCCCAUGAUUUCAAGAAUUACAUGCAAGUCCAAGUAAAAUUUUCCAUUAAUCAAGACUAAUGCGGUGUUUGGAUUCAUGAUUUUGGUUUAUAAAAUUUAGAAUUUCAAUAUUAAAUAUCAAAAUUUAGAAUUAAAAUUCAUAUAAUAAUAAUAAUAAUAAUA
rnacentral:misc_RNA from 1 species